rnacentral:rRNA from 1 species
GGCAACCCUGACGGAGCAACGCCGCGUGGGGGAGGAAUGUCUGUGGAUUGUAAACCCCUUUUCUCAGGGAAGAAGUUCUGACGGUACCUGAGGAAUCAGCAUCGGCUAACUCCGUGCCAGCAGCCGCGGUAAGACGGAGGAUGCAAGCGUUAUCCGGAAUUAUUGGGCGUAAAGCGUCCGUAGGCGGUUCAUCAAGUCUGCUGUCAAAGACUGCAGCUCAACUGUGGAUAGGCAGUGGAAACUGACGAACUUGAGUAUGGUAGGGGUAGAGGGAAUUCCCAGUGUAGCGGUGAAAUGCGUAGAUAUUGGGAAGAACACCAGUGGCGAAGGCGCUCUACUGGGCCAUAACUGACGCUGAGGGACGAAAGCUAGGGGAGCG